AACGAACGCUGGCGGCAGGCUUAACACAUGCAAGUCGAACGCGUGUAGCAAUACACGAGUGGCGCACGGGUGAGUAACACGUGGAUAUCUGCCUUUUGGUUCGGAAUAACCCUGGGAAACUAGGGCUAAUACCGAAUGGUUCCUACGGGAUAAAGAUUUAUCGCCAAAAGAUGAGUCCGCGUCCGAUUAGCUAGUUGGUGAGGUAACGGCUCACCAAGGCGACGAUCGGUAGCGGUCUGAGAGGACGAUCAGCCACACUGGGACUGAGACACGGCCCAGACUCCUACGGGAGGCAGCAGGUGGGGAAUAUUGGACAAGUGGGGCCGAACCCUGAUCCAGCCAUGCCGCGUGAGUGAUGAAGGCCGUUCGGUU
rnacentral:rRNA from 1 species